AGAGAGGUGUCCGAGUGGUCGAAGGAGCACGCCUGGAAAGUGUGUAUGGCCCAAAAGGUCAUCGUGGGUUCGAAUCCCAUCCUCUCUG
rfam:Hymenobacter sp. CRA2 NODE_14_length_147520_cov_109.108_ID_1971, whole genome shotgun sequence.